rnacentral:rRNA from 1 species
GCGGCAGGCCUAACACAUGCAAGUCGAACGGUAACAGGGAAAAGCUUGCUUUUCCGCUGACGAGUGGCGCACGGGUGCGUAACGCGUAUAGAACCUACCUUUUACUAGGAAAUAGCCCAUGGAAACGUGGAUUAAUGUCCCAUAAAAACAUUUGAUGGCAUCAUUUGAAUGUUUAAAGCUUCGGCGGUAGAAGAUGGCUAUGCGUCCCAUUAGUUAGUAGGCGAGGUAACGGCUCACCUAGGCUUCGAUGGGUAGGGGCCCUGAGAGGGGGAUCCCCCACACUGGUACUGAGACACGGACCAGACUCCUACGGGAGGCAGCAGUGAGGAAUAUUGGACAAUGGACGAAAGUCUGAUCCAGCCAUGCCGCGUGCAGGAAGACGGCCCUACGGGUUGUAAACUGCUUUUAUACGGGAAGAAUAAGAAGUACGUGUACUUCGAUGACGGUACCGUAAGAAUAAGGACCGGCUAACUCCGUGCCAGCAGCCGCGGUAAUACGGAGGGUCCGAGCGUUAUCCGGAAUCAUUGGGUUUAAAGGGUCCGCAGGCGGGCAAUUAAGUCAGGGGUGAAAGGCUGUGCUCAACCAUAGCAUUGCCUUUGAUACUGGUUGUCUUGAGUAUAGUGAAGUGGCCGGAAUAUGUAGUGUACCGGUGAAAUGCAUAGAUAUUACAUAGAACACCGAUUGCGAAGGCAGGUCACUAACUAUUGACUGACGCUGAUGGACGAAAGCGUGGGGAGCGAACGGGAUUAGAUACCCCGGUAGUCCACGCCGUAAACGAUGGAUACUAGCUGUCGGGCUUUCGGGCUCGCGGCCAAGCGAAAGUGAUAAGUAUCCCACCUGGGGAGUACGUUCGCAAGAAUGAAACUCAAAGGAAUUGACGGGGGCCCGCACAAGCGGUGGAGCAUGUGGUUUAAUUCGAUGAUACGCGAGGAACCUUACCAGGGCUUAAAUGCAGAAUGACAGGACCAGAGGCGGUUUUUUCUUCGGACAUUUUGCAAGGUGCUGCAUGGUUGUCGUCAGCUCGUGCCGUGAGGUGUCAGGUUAAGUCCUAUAACGAGCGCAACCCCUGUCGUCAGUUGCCAACAGAUAAUGCUGGGGACUCUGGCGAGACUGCCGGUGCAAACCGCGAGGAAGGUGGGGAUGACGUCAAAUCAUCACGGCCCUUACGUCCUGGGCUACACACGUGCUACAAUGGCCGAUACAGUGAGCAGCCAUCCGGCAACGGAGAGCGAAUCUAUAAAAUCGGUCACAGUUCGGAUCGGGGUCUGCAACUCGACCCCGUGAAGCUGGAAUCGCUAGUAAUCGGAUAUCAGCCAUGAUCCGGUGAAUACGUUCCCGGGCCUUGUACACACCGCCCGUCAAGCCAUGGAAGCCGGGGGUACCUGAAGUCCGUCACCGUAAGGAGCGGCCUAGGGUAAGACCGGUAA